rnacentral:sRNA from 1 species
CAGCCCAGGGGCGCUGGACGUGACCAUCAUGUACAAGGGCCGCACGGUGCUGCAGAAGGUGGUGGGACACCCUAGCUGCACGUUCCUAUACGGGCCCCCAGACCCAGCUGUCCGAGCCACAGACCCCCAGCAGGUAGCAUUCCCCAGCCCUGCCGAGCUCCCGGACCAGAAGCAGCUGCGCUACACGGAGGAACUGCUGCGGCAUGUGGCCCCUGGGUUGCACCUGGAGCUUCGGGGGCCACAGCUGUGGGCCCGGCGCAUGGGCAAGUGCAAGGUGUACUGGGAGGUGGGCGGCCCCCCAGGCUCCGCCAGCCCCUCCACCCCAGCCUGCCUGCUGCCUCGGAACUGUGACACCCCCAUCUUCGACUUCAGAGUCUUCUUCGGAGGUCAGUGAGGCCCCUGCCUGGGGGGCUGUCUCCAGGGGUCCUUGGGAGCACCUGCCUGCCAGGUACUCAGCAGAGUCCCCUUCUUCAGAGCUGGUGGAAUUCCGGGCACGGCAGCGCCGUGGCUCCCCACGCUAUACCAUCUACCUGGGCUUCGGGCAGGACCUGUCAGCUGGGAGGCCCAAGGAGAAGAGCCUGGUCCUGGUGAAGCUGGAACCCUGGCUGUGCCGAGUGCACCUAGAGGGCACGCAGCGUGAGGGUGUGUCUUCCCUGGAUAGCAGCAGCCUCAGCCUCUGCCUGUCCAGCACCAACAGCCUCUAUGACGACAUCGAGUGCUUCCUUAUGGAGCUGGAGCAGCCCGCCUAGAACCCAGUCUAAUGAGAACUCCAGAAAGCUGGAGCAGCCCACCUAGAGCUGGCCGCG